UACGGAGGGUGCGAGCGUUGUCCGGAAUCACUGGGCGUAAAGGGCGCGUAGGUGGCGCGGAAAGUCAACGGUGAAAGUUCGGGGCUCAACCCUGAAUCGGCCGUCGAUACUGCUGCGCUUGAGCACUGUAGAGGCAGAUGGAAUUCCGGGUGUAGCGGUGGAAUGCGUAGAGAUCCGGAAGAACACCGGUGGCGAAGGCGGCCUGCUGGGCAGUAGCUGACACUGAGGCGCGACAGCGUGGGGAGCAAACAGG
rnacentral:rRNA from 1 species